GCGGCGGACGGGUGAGUAACACGUGGGUAACCUGCCCAUAAGACUGGGAUAACUCCGGGAAACCGGGGCUAAUACCGGAUAACAUUUUGAACCGCAUGGUUCGAAAUUGAAAGGCGGCUUCGGCUGUCACUUAUGGAUGGACCCGCGUCGCAUUAGCUAGUUGGUGAGGUAACGGCUCACCAAGGCAACGAUGCGUAGCCGACCUGAGAGGGUGAUCGGCCACACUGGGACUGAGACACGGCCCAGACUCCUACGGGAGGCAGCAGUAGGGAAUCUUCCGCAAUGGACGAAAGUCUGACGGAGCAACGCCGCGUGAGUGAUGAAGGCUUUCGGGUCGUAAAACUCUGUUGUUAGGGAAGAACAAGUGCUAGUUGAAUAAGCUGGCACCUUGACGGUACCUAACCAGAAAGCCACGGCUAACUACGUGCCAGCAGCCGCGGUAAUACGUAGGUGGCAAGCGUUAUCCGGAAUUAUUGGGCGUAAAGCGCGCGCAGGUGGUUUCUUAAGUCUGAUGUGAAAGCCCACGGCUCAACCGUGGAGGGUCAUUGGAAACUGGGAGACUUGAGUGCAGAG
rnacentral:rRNA from 1 species